GAUGAACGCUGGCGGCGUGCCUAAUACAUGCAAGUAGAACGCUGAAGGAGGAGCUUGCUCUUCUGGAUGGGUUGCGAACGGGUGAGUAACGCGUAGGUAACCUGCCUGGUAGCGGGGGAUAACUAUUGGAAACGAUAGCUAAUACCGCAUGACAACAGUUAUUGCAUGAUAACUGUUUAAAAGGGGCAACUGCUCCACUACCAGAUGGACCUGCGUUGUAUUAGCUAGUUGGUGAGGUAACGGCUCACCAAGGCGACGAUACAUAGCCGACCUGAGAGGGUGAUCGGCCACACUGGGACUGAGACACGGCCCAGACUCCUACGGGAGGCAGCAGUAGGGAAUCUUCGGCAAUGGACGGAAGUCUGACCGAGCAACGCCGCGUGAGUGAAGAAGGUUUUCGGAUCGUAAAGCUCUGUUGUAAGAGAAGAACGAGUGUGAGAGUGGAAAGUUCACACUGUGACGGUAUCUGACCAGAAAGGGACGGCUAACUACGUG
rnacentral:rRNA from 1 species